GACGAACGCUGGCGGCGUGCUUAACACAUGCAAGUCGAACGGAAAGGCCCUGCGUUUGUGGGGUGCUCGAGUGGCGAACGGGUGAGUAACACGUGAGUAACCUGCCCUUGACUUUGGGAGAAAUUCAGGAAACUGGGGCUAAUAUCGGAUAGGAGCUCUUGCUGCGUGGUGGGGGAUGGAAAGUGUCGGCGGUGGGGGAUGGACUCGCGGCUUAUCAGCUUGUUGGUGGGGUAGUUGAGUACCAAGGCUUUGACGGGUAGCCGGCCUGAGAGGGGUACCGGCCACAUUGGGACUGCGAUACGGACCAGACUCCUACGGGAGGCAGCAGUGGGGAAUAUUGCACAAUGGGCGGAAGCCUGAUGCAGCAACGCCGCGUGCGGGAUGACGGCCUUCGGGUUGUAAACCGCUUUCGCCUGUGACGAAGCGUGAGUGACGGUAAUGGGUAAAGAAGCACCGGCUAACUACGUG
rnacentral:rRNA from 1 species